rfam:Spizellomyces punctatus DAOM BR117 chromosome Tnknown supercont1.14, whole genome shotgun sequence.
GCCAAGGUAGUAUAGUGGCAGUACACUGCGUUGUGGCCGCAAUGACCCCGGUUCGAUUCCGGGCCUUGGCA